CAUCCGUGAUCAUGAUGACUCUGGCUGUCUACUGAAAUGUGUUCUGACAAGGGGAGUUUAAGAGCCCAGACGCUUGCUCUAUAACACGCAUCGCUUGCCGUACGGUUUUGGAAACAUAAGGAACGUAUCUUCCAUAUCAAAUGAAAAUACUACACAGCCAUAUCUCCAAGUUGCAUUACUUGUUUACGGAAGACAUAGGUGGCCACCUAUGCUAAAUAGCAUGCUCCAAAUCUGUGUGUAAUCGUAACUGUGGAAAGUGUAGUUCGUCGACUGGAAGCACACAUCUUGUGGGUAUGUGCAAAACUGCUAAUGUAGCCCAGCAGGAGUUGGACCUGUAGCCCGAAAAGUGUUGAGUUGGUGUCCCGGGCCGGGUGCUGGAAGAAGGGAAGAAUUGAUCCGGCAACUGGAGGGUUGCUGGGUUCACAUUCUCAAGCUAUUCCCCUACUGUUGAGCCCUUGAGCAAGGUCCUUAACCUCACUCUCCAUCCAGGGAUGCUGCACUGCAGCUUGACCCUGUGCUCAUCUCAAUUGUAUGUGGUGAUGUACACAUGUACAGAGCAGGAGACACAUUGUUGUUGUUUGCUGUAACAUAUGGCCAAUAAAGCUGUAUUGUAUAACA